rnacentral:rRNA from 1 species
AUACGUAGGGUGCGAGCGUUAAUCGGAAUUACUGGGCGUAAAGCGUGCGCAGGCGGUUUUGUAAGACAGUGGUGAAAUCCCCGGGCUCAACCUGGGAACUGCCAUUGUGACUGCAAGGCUGGAGUGCGGCCGAGGGGGAUGGACUUCCGGGUGUAGCAGGGAAAUGCGUAGAUAUGCGGAGGAACACCGAUGGCGAAGGCAAUCCCCUGGGCCUGCACUGACGCUCAUGCACGAAAGCGUGGGGAGCAAACAGGAUUAGAUACCCUGGUAGUCCACGCCCUAAACGAUGUCAACUGGUUGUUGGGAAUUUAUUUUCUCAGUAACGAAGCUAACGCGUGAAGUUGACCGCCUGGGGAGUACGGCCGCAAGGUUAAAACUCAAAUGAAUUGGCGGGG